ACGUGGACAUUAUCUGCUAAUUGUACUUUCAACGGUGAUUAUUUUUCUCAUGAUCCUAAUGCUGUGAAUUUCUCGGUGGUUGCUGAGACCAAGAUGGCACCGAGUCCUCUGAGAUGCGCUACGGAAAUGAUGAGAACGACUUCUGAGGCUGUGAGCGGUGGCUGAUGAGAGAAGCUAAAGAGAGGAACCUCAAAAUUGAACAGAUUGAUAUGGAAUGAAGGGGCAUUUCAUAGCAAAUGCAUGAAGAGGAGACCUUCAUCCUGUGACUACUUCGCUUCCUGACCUCUGGAGGCAGCUGCAGGCUUGAAGCACUAACAGCAACACGGGAGCCUUAGAUUUUUUUUUAUCUUAAGCUUUUACUUUGAACUUCGUAAGUCAGUGUAUGCUAAGGAGGGCAUUUUAAAGGAAGCUGCAGUUGAACCGUACAAAUUCAUCUUCUUACUGGCUGGAAAACAGCUUAUUUUGUAAGUCAGAGACCCAGAAUUCCUUCAGAUUUUCAAGUGAAGUUCCAGUGGAUAUGAUGCCCCUUAAUUAUUGAUGUACAGCUCCAGGCUUUCAUUACAUGGUCUGAUUUACUUUUUCCAUAAAGUAAGAGCUCUUUCACAUCAGAUAACACUGUGCUGUCACUGUUUCCUUCCCUGCACAUUCCUCUUUGGAUUUUCACUUCUCUUUAUGUUAUGCUGAAGUAGAAUCUUAAAAUAAGUUUUACUGUAUUCAUUAUUCACGUCCUUGUUGCUGCUUUGAGGCUCAGAAUGAAAUGCAUUUCUUCUCAAAAGAAAGUAAGGGUUAAGCAGAGUGUGAAGAAAACUGCUGAUUCUUUUUUUCCUGUCCACGCCCAACUUUGCAGAAAUUGGGUCCCUUCUGCUUAAAAUCAAUCAGUCAGCAACUAUUAGAAAAGUUCUUUUAGUUUUGUAUGCUGUAUAAGGUCAGUUGUGUUAUUUGUCCGUGGCAGCAUCUGUAGCUAUUUCGUUCAGGGAUUAGUUUUAGCAGAACAGUACAGAAAAUGGUA